CACUUAACCGACUGAGCCACCCAGGUGCCUCUCUUCUAAGAGUUUUAUAGUUUUGGCUCUUACAUUUGGGUCUCUGAUAUGUUUUGAGUUAAUUUUUAUAUAUGGCAUAAGGUUCUAAUUUCAUUCUUUGUAUGUGAGUAUCCCAUUGUCCCAGCACCAUUUGUUGAAGAGACUGUUUUUUCCCAGUCUAUUGAAUUUUCUUGACACUCUUGUCAAAAAUCAGUUGCCAUUAAAGGUACGGAUUUAUUUCAGGACUCUCAGGUGUAUUCCAUUGAUCUAUGUGCGUGUCUUUAUGCCAGCAUUUUAUGCCACACAGUUUUGAUUACUGUAGCGAUGUAGUAACUUUCGAAGUUGUAGUAUGAGUCCUUUAACUUUAUUCUUUUUAAGGAUUAUUUUGGCUUUUCUGGGUCCCUUGAAUUAUUAUAUGAAUUUUAAGAUCAGCUUGUCAAUUUCAUCAGAGGCCUUCUGGGGUUUUGAUAUAGAUUUCAUUGAAUGUGUAGAUCAAUUUGGGGGUUUUACUUUGAAUGAAAGAAGUGAUCUCAAAGUGAGGCAAUGUGGUAUAGAAGAGGUUAUGGAUGAGUGUCCGUCAGGCAGGCGUCAGUUCAUGUCUGAUUUCUCGCUCUGACUUGGUUUGUGAGCUUGGGCAAAUUAAGUCUUCUUCUUUGGGCCUCAGAUUCCUCACCUGUAAAACAGACCCAAGGAUGUUCAUUCUAAAGUGUUUUGAGGAUUAAAUGAGUUCACCUAUGCGGGGUGUAAGGCCAGUGCUUGGCACGUAACUGAAGUGUCCAUCCAUUUCCUGGGGCCACUGGAACUCACCCAGCUAACAGGAGGGAAAGCACCAGGUUAGAAAAAUGUAAAGGCUGGAAAGGACCUCAGUGAAUAAAUUAACACAUUUAAAUGUCAUCAUCUGCGACCUUAAUCUUUCCCCUGCCCCUAGAAUCAUUUUUUUCCUUAUAUCUUUGCCAAAAUUGUACCCAUCCCGAUAGCCCAGUUGGAAGUAAUCUUCUCUUUUCUGAACACACCUGACAUUUUUUCUUCUCCAACAACAUCUGAUUCUGUUUGCCAGUUUUCUACAGAUUUGGGUAUCUUGACUCGACUUCUAAAUUGUAAGCCAAUAGCAGCAGGUUCCAGCCAUGUCUUCCUUGAAAUAUCAUUGUGACAAGGCUGGAUAAAGCAUGGCUGCGUUUAUGUUUAGACACUGUGUAUGUGUGUGUUGAGGGGUCAUUUUCCUGCACUCUUCCCCCAAUCCUCCCCAAGCACAUGCUCCCUGCCUCAUGCGCGAGGAGACUCUGCUAACAGUGAAAUGCUGAAGGACAGAGGUGAGUUGACUCUUGAAGACCACUGAAGGCCAUAGAGAUUUCUUCUGCCUUCUUCUUCUGCUCACUUCAUCGCACACGUCUGGCACAGCUGGCAGGCAGCCAGCACCCUCUCCAGUAGGGAGGAGUUGCUUUUAAUUUUGCCAAUUGGACAGAUGGAAUAUAGUAUCAUGUCUUGAUUUGUACUUCUUGCAUUACUGCUGGAGUUGAUUUUUUUCAUGUAUUUAUUAGCGAUUUGUACUUGUGUUUUGAUUACCCUUUCCAGCUGAAGUAUUUCACCACUUGGAUUUGAACUGGCAAGGAAUAGACUGGUAACUAGUAGGAGAUAGAGUUCAACAGUUUGUUAGGGGCUGAUAAGUCAAAAAUUUGGAACUGGCUCCCUGUGGGCGUGUGAGGGUGGGUGAGGUCCCUGAGAGACCUAGAGAUUCACCACUGACUUCAUUCUGUGUCACUGUAAGUCAUGAUGGCACGUUUAUGCCAUGUGGUCCCUAUUAAAUGCAGAUUUUAGCAUUGUAGCCUUCUGCAUAGAGCUAUGGCUGAAAUCUGUUUCUCUUAAUUCUUUCAUUUAAGCUUCCUUGCUGACUUCAUAUGUUGACGCCUCUGUCAAAAUGUCUCUUAGGUGUGCACAGGCUUCUGAUCACAUCCCUUGGAAAAACAGAGUUGAACAUUACACAUCCCUGUUGGGGUGAGAAACUGCUUUUUUGUAUCUGUUGCCAAUUGCCAGUUAAUUACCUUAAUAUCUGAUGAAAGCUAGAAGCUGGGCUGGGUCUGGAGACACAAAGGCAGAAAGGACUCCAUGUGUUCACUUGCCCCUGGGAGAGUUCAUGAUGCCUAGAAUAUGGUAUUGGAGCAGGAUACUGAGAUAAAAAGUUGUACUAGGUCCUGAUGUUGAGUCCAGGGUGAGCUGAGAAGUAAGCACCUUGUCUUUUCUCAGAACCCAGGAGAAAGGCUUUGUGGAUGGCUUCACAGAGCUGGAGAUGUUUGGACAGAAAGUGGGUGGACAAAGGAUGACCAUGCCCUAGGAGGAGGGGACAGCUGGGGCAAAGAUCUGAUGUCCCUAAAGAGCUUGACAUGUGGGAAGCGGCAGCCGAUUGAGAUGACUAGGGCUUUAGGGCUUUGGGCGUGGAUGGUAGAGAUGACUGAUGAGGAUGAAAAGUGGGUGUGGCUUGGAAGAGGCCUUUGGGUGAUGGGGAUGUAUAGGUGGGACAGCAUCAGAGUGCUCAGAAGAGGGAAUCUGCUGCCCUUGUCUGUUGAUGGGCUGAGGGGAUGGGAGAGCUUACUCUGGCUUCUGGUUUGGGAGCCUGGCUGGAUGGUGUUGCCAGGAACUGAGACAGCGUGUGUAAGUAAUGAGUUCACAAUGGAACACACUGAAAUGUUGAAAUGGAAGAGUCUGUGGUACAUGUAAGAAGCUGGGGGUUUGGAGAGCACCACAUGUGGAACAAGGAGCACCUGUGAGAGAGAGAGGGUAGAGGAAAUUCCCUCCAGGUCAGUUUCUGGGAAGCCUGAAGAGGAGGCACUUCCCGGAAGGAAAGAACCCGUGGUAUUGGUACAUGCUGCAAAGAAGUUGGGUGAGAUCAGUGUUAAGAUGGAUUUGGCACUGUAGCAUUCAGCUAAGGGCAUGGGCAUUAAGCUGAGAUGAACCUGGGCUUAAAACGUGGUUCUAGCACUUAGUAUCUGUCAGGUCCUAGAGAUGUCAAUUAACCUGAGCCUCAACUUCUAUAUCUAUAAAAGGGGGAGACGAUAGUAGUAGCCACUUGAUAGAGUUGUUGUGAAGUAUUAGUUCGGGUAUGGCAGGGAAGGUACUUAGCACAGAUCCUGGCAACAUUGUGAGCAGACAAUAAAUAUUACUAUUACAGUUAGGGUAGAUAAAAAUGGUAACAAUAUUUUUUACAAACUGUGACAGAAUUACAUGAGAAUAUGCAUGAAUGCCAUGACUCUUGUUCAGUCUUGGGUGUGUGGGUAUGAUAUUUUGAUUUAUAAUAAGAAAUAUAUAUUUAGUCUUUGUCCCCUUUCCUGGCAUAGAUCUAAAAUCCUUGCGGUUUCCAAAGUAAGAACCAUAAAGUUGUCUUUUGUUAUGUCAAUGAGAUGACUUCUGGAAAGCACCUAUGAAAGGGGCUUCGUUGCCACGGAAACCAACCAUGUGAUUAGAGGGUUGGAACUUUCAGUUCCAUCCUCCACCUCUGGUUAGGGCCAGGAGGCUGGAGAUUGAGUUCAGUAGCCGUAGGCCAAUGAUUUAAUCAGCCAGCCCUGUGUAAGGAGGCCUCCCUCAAAACCCCAGAGGACAGAGUUUGGAGAGCUUCUGGGCUGGUGAGCGCAUGGGGACUGAGUAAGAGCUGCACACCUGGAGAGGCUCCCCAUACACUGCUCUGUGCGUCUCUUCCAUCUGGCUGUUCCGAGUUAGAUCCUUUUCUAGUAAACCAGUAAUCUAAUGUCAUCACCCAGAUUUUACCUCUGAUCGCUGAGGAUUCAGUGUGAACCAUCACAGCACAGGCAGGCUGCCCAUCUCAGUUGCAGACUCAAGCCUGAUUGUACUGCACUCCAACCAAAAGACCCCCUCAGGCAAGAAACACAUUUAUGGAAAGCUAUUUAUAAGGUUUAAAUUAUCCAUAUUAACAUUCUUAAGAUUCACCAGUGUGGUUUCUAGAUGCCAGGUCCAAUCCACAGUGACGCUUCAAUGUUGGGUUGUAUAGUUGACUGCAUAGACUCUCUCCGGAGGAAAAUGUGGAGUGAAACCAUGGGGCUGGAAGACCCCCAGAGGAGUUAACUAAUCUAUCCCCCUGCCUCUGGCAGGACCAAAAGCAAAACCCAUUUAGGUACCAGUACACGACUAUAUGCUUGUUUUGCUUGUGAAACCUGAUUGGCUCCAUCUCUUUCCAUUUUUUAAGUGAAAGCUGUAGGCAAAGUAUGAGAGAGAAAUUUACUUAGUAUAUAUAGACACACAUGUAUACAGCCCACCCUUGAUCAUUAAGUAUUUAUGAGACUUCUCCUAAUAUUAAAACGACAGCAUUAGGCCCAGAGAGUUAACCUAGUGUAGGUAAAAACACAGUGUACGUUCACGAGGAGCUUACAAUUUGGUUACGAAGACAUGACAUACAUUAGGAACAUUCACAUUUCAAUUCUGGACAGCACUGGCUUGUGUUGACAUAAGGAUUAGAGACCUCAUGUGUACUAGUACUGACGGUUCUAAUCCCAUUCACUUGGAUUUCUAGGUCUUGUAUACUUUCAUGUCCUGGAAUUCAUUCACAGCAUUUUGAAAUUACAAAAACUUGAUUUUACGGAGGUUAGAGACAUCCAAUUUUUCUAUCUUGAAUUCUUUCCCAGAAAUGUGUCUGCUCUCUCUAUCCCCACCUCGCUGCUAGAAAUCACCAGUUGAACUGAUGUAAGACGCCCAGGAAGGCAGGACCCAGAUCUCCAUAUAAGGUUUUAGUUCAUGGUGUUCCCUUGGGCUAAAGGAAACUUUUUUAAUCGGGUAGAAAUGGUUAAUGGUCCCUCACUCCUGUCUCUCCUCAGGUAGGGUCAGCAGACUCCUACUUGGGUCAGAGAAAAUGGAAUUAGAGGGAAAGCUAGGUAGAAAAGUAACCCUUCAUUAAUUCAUGCACUCAUUCAGUGGGCUAUGAUGGACUAGACUGUGGGGCUACAAGGAUGGAUGGCCCUUAGCUCUUGUUUGUGAAGAGCUCACCCCUGACACUGUGGCAAAGGGCAAAGGGCAAUUAGAGAGACAGGGACGAGGUGUACUGUGGGAGCCAGGAGGGAAAAUGAUUAUAUCAGCAGGAUAUCUGCAGAAGGUUUCAUAGAUGUUGUCACAUUUAAACUGGACUUUGAAGGAGAGGAGAUUUCAUCAGAGGGAGAAGGUGCAAGAGGCAUUCUAGACAGAAGGCACACUGUGUGUAAGGUAGUGGGUCUGGAGCAGGGUGCGGUCAGAGAAAGUCAAGCAGAAGAGGACCCGUGGAAAGAGGGUGAACUUGGAAGAGCAGUUUGGUGGCCACAUUACAAAAGUCCUUUUAGAAAGCUUGGUUUUGGGGAUGUGGAUCUGACCCAGAGAGAAGGAGGGUGACAAGGAAUGGGAGUCAAAUUAAGCUCUUAAACAGGAAAGAACAUGUCUAGGUUCAUGCUUUGGGAAGAUACCUCCGGCAGCUAGCGUGUGGAGGAAGUACUGAGGUGAGAAAAGCCCAGAACAGGGAGACUGGCUUGGAGGCCAUCGCAAUCGUCCAGUGAGAGGUGAGGGUUGAGCCACACUGGAGGGGGAAUGGCCUCAGGAGAUGGUUGGCAUCCUGAGAGAUGACAGAAUUUAGAGACUGGAUCUUGUGGGUGGCAAAGAGAGAGAGAGCUGGGGAAGUGCUCUGUUUCUCACCAGAUUUGGGAGAUAAAAGUAUUGUGAGAAGAGGAGCAAGUCUGGAAAGGAUGGAUGUAGAGCCAAGGAGUUUUUGAAAUCAGUUUAGUGGUAGAUGACUUGUAUUCAUGGGAUUAGUAGUGGUGAUAUUCAAUUUGGCUGAAAAUAUAAGAUUAUAGGGCUGGGGAGGGACACCUAAGUGGGACAAGACAAUUAAGCUCUCUGUGGAUGACUGAAUGGGGGUUGCAGUUUGGGGAAAUUCUGUUGCUGGGGGAGUCUCCCUGUGUACAUCCCCAGAGAUAGUUGUUUGAUCAUUAGUCUCAGCCUCACUGUAGUUAGUGUGGGUCGACACUUCUCCAGUUUUGAUUUGUUUUGUUUUGUUUUGUUUUGUUUUACCAAGAUGCCCCUCUGUUACAGGGAAGACUUGGGUCUAGGGGGCAAGGAGAAGUUUUCUUUCAAGUGCCUGUUUUAUCUGAAAAAUAUAUUUAAUGCCUGAGCCCUGUUACAUAAAAUAUCCAAGUUUACUUUGAUAUAAAUUAUGUUUUAAAUUAUUUACCAGUUACAUUAUGCAUGUUAACUACCCCCACCUGAAUCUAUGCAUAUCCAGGGAGAUGCACCAUGGUUAUCCUAUCCUUGGGCCCCUUGGCCUGUGACCACCCAUGCGCCUUGGUUUGUGAAGCACAGAUCUAAUCAAGAUCUGACCAUUACAGUGGUCAGCUCUUCUCCUGUUAGGAAAGAGCCUUCUAAUUCCCACAUGCCUGAGUGUCAGGUUGCAGUUUCCCAGAAUUCCCAAGCCAUACCCUCAGGCAGGGUGUGAGCAAAUACUGAUACUGUAACAAGAAAAAACUCAGAGCUGGUUCUUUUUUUCUUUUCCUUUUUUUCAAAAAAGCCCCACUGGAUUAUGUAUUUGACUUUUUUAACUACAAAGAUAAGACACAGAUAAAAAAAUGGAAUAAUAUACAAGUGCAUGAAAUAUCAACUGUGUGUCUACUUUCCUCCUCCUACCUUCCCUCUCCCUCUACCCUGCUCCUCAGGGGUGACCUAUCUGAAUAACUGGGUGUCUUAUAAUGACUUGCUACUCAGAGUAGGGUCAAAUGACCUGCAGCAUCAGCCUCAGCUGGGAGCAUGUGAGAAAUGCAGAGUCUAGGCCCUACCUCAGCCUACUGAAUCAGACUCUGCAUUUAAAAAAAAAUGCUUGUUUAUUUUAAGAGAGGCAGAGGGAGCACUAGAGGGGGAGGGGCAGAGAGAGAGAAUGGGAGAGAGAGAAUCCC